rnacentral:rRNA from 1 species
UACGUAGGGUGCAAGCGUUAAUCGGAAUUACUGGGCGUAAAACGUGCGCAGGCGGCUUUGCAAGACAGAUGUGAAAUCCCCCGGGCUUAACCUGGGAACUGCAUUUGUGACUGCAUGGCUGGAGUGCGGCAGAGGGGGAUGGAAUUCCGCGUGUAGCAGUGAAAUGCGUAGAUAUGCGGAGGAACACCGAUGGCGAAGGCAAUCCCCUGGGCCUGCACUGACGCUCAUGACACGAAAGCGUG